CGCGUCAGCUGGGGCCGCCGUCUGGACGCUUAAAGGGCCAGGCCGUCCUGCGCUCCAGCGGGGGGCGCGGACGCGCGUGGUGGGUGCCGUCCCGCGCAGCCCCCUCUGCCUCCGCCGCCGGCCCCCAACUAGCCCCCCCCCCGUUCCUAUUCGAGCAGCUUGACCCCGGCUCACCCUCCCGCGCCGAGCACCCCUUGUGCCGGGAAGUUCGUCCCGGAAUCUAACCUCGAUGCCCUCCAGCUGCACCACGGAGGCGGGGCCAGGGUAGGAGGCUGCCUAGAAAUCGGGAAGCUGGGCGCGCCUGGCCCCCAACUCGCCGCUGAAAAGACUUCCACCUGCUCCCCCAGAGCGAUCCUACGCGGAGGGACCGAGCCCCGCACCCCAGCCUCGCUUGCCACCCCCAUCCUGUGGCCUGGGCUACUGACUUGGGGCCUGAAAUAAUGCAGACCGUGGGCAGUAUGAUGACUGCUUUCCUGAUUGAGCCAGCAAAGAAGCAAUGUAUGAAUUAAGAACCCCAGAGCCACACUGCCUUAUGCUCCUGGUUACCAUUGGUGGUCUGUAGGCUCUCAAUCUCUGCAUUUCCUCUUUCCAGUGAGGAGGAGUUUCACUGCUGUCAUCAUUAUCUGACUCAGAACAGGAUCUUGAUCUUGGAGGUGUGUGAUAGCGCUUUAAACAAAAGAAGAGAAACUAUUUUUAAAAUGCCUCUCAAUUACAAUCUGCUAUAGGACAGAGACAUGUAAAAGAUCCAAUCUUAGAUUACUUCAAAGGCAAUCAUAUGAUUCAGAAGAUGAAGAGGAACUGGAAGAGGAAUCCGAGUCUUCUGAAUGUGUUGGUUUCUUCCUUUUUUUCUCAAAAACUUUUAAUAAAUAUUAACAAAAAUAUUAGUAAUGAAUUCCUGUCUACCUUUAAGAGUAAAAAAUGUGAUUAUGUAAAAUUAUGAUAGUUUAUAAUAAAUCA